rnacentral:rRNA from 1 species
UGGGGAAUUUUGGACAAUGGGGGCAACCCUGAUCCAGCCAUGCCGCGUGAGUGAAGAAGGCCUUCGGGUUGUAAAGCUCUUUCGGUGGGGAAGAAAUCGCUUGGGUUAAUACCCUGAGUGGAUGACGGUACCCGGAGAAGAAGCACCGGCUAACUACGUGCCAGCAGCCGCGGUAAUACGUAGGGUGCGAGCGUUAAUCGGAAUUACUGGGCGUAAAGCGUGCGCAGGCGGUUGUGCAAGACAGGCGUGAAAUCCCCGGGCUUAACCUGGGAACUGCGCUUGUGACUGCACGGCUAGAGUACGGCAGAGGGGGGUGGAAUUCCACGUGUAGCAGUGAAAUGCGUAGAGAUGUGGAGGAACACCGAUGGCGAAGGCAGCCCCCUGGGCCAGUACUGACGCUCAUGCACGAAAGCGUGGGGAGCAAACAGG